AUUUCUGCUCCGCUACGGUACCUACAUAAUUGGUGCAAAGAUUACCAUUGUGUCCCUGAAAAUUUGGAUUCCCCCAAUGCCAAAUUUUUGGUCUUCAUUUCGAGGAGUGUAUUUCAAGAACUGUCUCUCUAAGUUGUAGAUCUGCCGACAGAUCUAACACUGUAGAGUUCUCCACAAGUAGGGCAAUGUGAGUUUAAAGUGGGAGGUUACCUUCGGGAAUUGUUAUCGGGAAGAGUCAGAGAGGAAGGAUGGUUGUGCGGGCAUCAACAUCUUCGUGUGACCCAUUUUCAGCGAAAGGUAUGUGUGCGAUAAUGUUUUAGGAGUAUGUGUUAAUAUCAAUCGAAGUACUUUUUUACUAUUUCCAUAUUUUUUUCGGACGAAAAUACCCUCAAUAUCUUGAAGGAUACAUACUCCUACAAAUCUUCGAAUGGAUCGGAACACAUUUGGGCAAAUCUGUCGCAUACUAUCAGAACAAAGUGGGUUGCGGACUGGCAAGUGUGUUGGGGUUGAGGAACAAGUCGCAAUGUUCAUCAGUGUCCUCGCCUAUCAUCAAAAGAACCGCGUUGUGAAAUUCCAGUUCUGGAGAUCUGGUUCUACGAUUUCGCAUUAUGUUAACUAGGUUCUAGGAGUUGUUCUUAGUCUACAUGGAAUCCUGCUUUCGAGGGCCGUACCCGUUCCCGACGACUGCACCUACUACCGUUGGACGUGGUUUAUAGUGGGUUUAACUAUAGUGACUAUCUUGGCGCGCUUGAUGGUACGCAUAUCAACCUUCUAGUGAGAAACACUGAUAAGCCUCGGUAUCGGACCAAAAAAUGUCAAAGUGCUACCAACACUUUAGUCGUUUGUAACCGGAUCAUGCAGUUCGUGUACAUACUACCAGGUGAGAGGGUUCAGCCGCUGAUUCUCGUGUAUUGUGUGACGCCGUUUGUUGGGCUGAUGGACAUAAGGUUCCAGAAGGUUGUUAUUACCUUUGUGACAACGGAUAUGCCAAUAGCAAGAGAUUCUUGACACCGUACAAGUGUGUCCAUUACCACCUCAAAAAACGGAGUCCUGGGAAUGCGAUGCCGCAAAACUCUAAGGAGAUGUUCAACAUGUGACACACGAAAGCGAGAAAUGUCAUUGAGCGUGCGUUUGCAGUGCUGAAGAUGCUUUGGGGCAUAUUACGUUGUGCCUCUUACUACCCAGUCAAAACUCAAAUAAGGCUUAUUAUGGCAUGUUGUUUGUUGCAUAAUUUCAUCCGUCGCGAAAUGGCGAUUGAUCCUAUUGAAGCCCAACUUGAUAGAUGUGUUGACUACAACUCAAACCUAUGUGACGGCGGUGUACCCGACCAUGUCGAGUCGGUCGAGCCGUCGGCGGAAUGGUCACAGUUUCAUGACAAUUUAGUUGGUAUGAUGUGGGCUAAUAGAUAUCGUGCAUGAAUAGGAAAUUUGUUCCCUAGGUCUUUUGGUUGGUAGAACGAUAUUGCCUGUACCUGAAUCAUGUGUUGCACUUUAUUUUUCGAUCAUUCACUCAUACGCAUAUUGUUUGUUUUCAUAUUGCUAACUUUUUUUGGCAGUCAUCCUUAUCCAUUAUGCGAAUAGAAGAUAACACCCCACAGUGUUGUUGUGGUAAUGGGAGGAUGGUCAUGCGUUGUACAGGGAGAGCGGCGAAUAAUGCAGAACAAUACUACUAUAACUGUCCGGUUAAUGGAGACCACCAAGGGUCGUUCAAGUGGUGUGAUGAGUGGGAUGAAAGCCAUCAUGCCGCAACCUAUGGUCGUCCCUCCAAACUGACCAACCGGGUCCCUAUUAUUGCAAAACGUCGUGAUGAAUGUGAUGAUGACAUUGUUCCUUGCCGUGAAUGUUUCCCAAACAUUAAUAACACGGGGAUAGCGUCGACAUUUGACACUUGCAUUUAUGUCUUUGGUGCUCGUCUUACUUGGAAUUGUAAUUGAGAAAUUGUGUUAGGUGUAUUUCUAACAUGUAUGAAAUGCAAAAUAUUUCACUACGCAUUAAAUGACGAAUAGAUUGUUAAAAA